AACGGGUGCUUUGGAUCCUUAAUCACUGGAGUAGUUAGCCCCAUACCUCCUUUGUCCUGUCUGUGAAACAUCUACUUGACUUUAUUCUACUGCUGCCACCAAAGAUCUAUUUGAAUGCAACACACAGGCACACCUGUUUUUAAACCCUGCCUUGUUCCAGCAGGAAUUGCCCAGAACCCCAUGUGAACCCAGAGAUGCCAAGGCUCCUUAGCCAAUGAGAGUUCUUGAUUCCUUUGCCUGCGAUUUAAAACUUGAAUGUUUGCCUGCUGGGUUGCAGCACGUGAAACUCAUUAUGCAGCUUUGAAACCUGGCCUCCAACACAGAAUGAGAACAGCCUGUUCAAGAGGAGAAGGGCUGUUUGUUUCAGCCAUGAGUGCCAAAAGAGA